rnacentral:rRNA from 1 species
UACGAAGGGGGCUAGCGUUGCUCGGAAUCACUGGGCGUAAAGGGUGCGUAGGCGGCCUUGUAAGUCGGAUGUGAAAUCCCACGGCUCAACCGUGGAAGUGCAUCCGAAACUGCGAGGCUCGAGUAUGGAAGAGGGUCGCAGAAUUCCCGGUGUAGAGGUGAAAUUCGUAGAUAUCGGGAGGAAUACCAGUGGCGAAGGCGGCGACCUGGGCCAAUACUGACGCUGAGGUGCGAAAGCGUGGGGAGCAAACAGG